UACGUAGGGGGCAAGCGUUGUCCGGAUUUAUUGGGCGUAAAGAGCGUGUAGGCGGCCUUACAGGUCAGCUGUGAAAACUCGAGGCUCAACCUCGAGACGCCGGUGGAAACCAUCUAGCUAGAGUCCGGAAGAGGAGAGUGGAAUUCCUGGUGUAGCGGUGAAAUGCGCAGAUAUCAGGAAGAACACCCGUGGCGAAGGCGGCUCUCUGGGACGUGACUGACGCUGAGACGCGAAAGCGUGGGGAGCGAACAGG
rnacentral:rRNA from 1 species